CGCGGGGUGGAGCAGCUUGGUAGCUCGCGAGGCUCAUAACCUCGAGGUCACGGGUUCAAAUCCCGUCUCCGCAA
rnacentral:tRNA from 5 species